rnacentral:rRNA from 1 species
GAACAGAACAGUAGUGUUGAGAUUCGGAACCUGC